rnacentral:lncRNA from 1 species
GCAGGCCUGUCCCUUUGCUUUCUUAAAACUGCGCACCGUCUGAGGCCACUUCGAGCCUACUGGAUCCCUGGUUCCAACCCAGUAGGAUCACAGAAGCAGGGCCAGCUGCCAGGAGAAAAAGUUGUUCUCUUCUACCAAAUUUUCCUGCCAUCAAAUGCUCAUUGAGUGACAAUAGAGAAAGCACCAUCAUCCUGAAGCAUCAGAUUGGGAGAAAAGUCCGCUCUCGAGAGCAUCAACUAUGUAGAAAGGGGACCAGCUUCUGCAAAAGACUUGAGACAGCUCACAAUGAAGUACUCUGUAUUAGGCAGGGUAAUAUUGAUUGCAAGUGACAGAAACCCAAUCAGAAACUCACUGGAGUCAUGAGGAACACUUAUUGGCUCAGAGUAAAGGCAAAAUAGACCUUCAGAGAAAUAAAGUCUGGGAAAUUGACUAGAUCCUCACUGAAAGAACUACUAAAGGAUGUACUUAUGGAAGAAGAAAAUUACAAAGUGAAAGAACUGGGAUGCAAGAAGUAAUGGAAAUGACAAGCUAACUCUAAAGUUCACAGGAAUGAAAAGCACCUAAAAUAGGCAAAUUCAUUUUGAAAAAGAAGAACAAAGUUGGAGGGCUAAGACGACCUGAUUUCAAAGUGCAAGGCUUCAAUAAUCAAGACAGUUUGAUAUUGGCACGAAGAUACACAAAGAGAUAAUGACACAGACAUUAGGUCCAGAAGACAGUCCAGUAAUAGACUUUCACAUAUAUGGACAACAAAUUUUUGACAGUGCCAAGGCAAUUCAGUAGAGAAAGGAUAGUUU